rnacentral:rRNA from 1 species
UGAGGAAUAUUGGUCAAUGGGCGAGAGCCUGAACCAGCCAAGUCGCGUGAAGGAUGACUGUCUUAUGGAUUGUAAACUUCUUUUAUACGGGAAUAACAAGAGCCACGAGUGACUCCCUGCAUGUACCGUAUGAAUAAGCAUCGGCUAACUCCGUGCCAGCAGCCGCGGUAAUACGGAGGAUGCGAGCGUUAUCCGGAUUUAUUGGGUUUAAAGGGUGCGUAGGCGGCCUGUUAAGUCAGCGGUGAAAUCUAGGAGCUUAGCUCCUAAAUUGCCAUUGAUACUGGCGGGCUUGAGUGUAGAUGAGGUAGGCGGAAUGCGUGGUGUAGCGGUGGAAUGCAUAGAUAUCACGCAGAACUCCGAUUGCGAAGGCAGCUUACUAAGGUACAACUGACGCUGAAGCACGAAAGCGUGGGUAUCAAACAGGAUUAGAUACCCUGGUAGUCCACGCAGUAACGAUGAUGACUGGGCGUAUGCGAUAUACAGUAUGCUCCUAAGCGAAAGCGUUAAGUUAUCCACCUGGGGAGUACGCCGGCACGGU